rnacentral:rRNA from 1 species
CAGUAGCCGCGGUAAUACGAAGGGGGCUAGCGUUGCUCGGAAUGACUGGGCGUAAAGGGCGCGUAGGCGGCGAUCAAAGUCAGGCGUGAAAUUCCUGGGCUCAACCUGGGGGCUGCGCUUGAUACUUGGUUGCUUGAGUGGGGAAGAGGGUCGUGGAAUUCCCAGUGUAGAGGUGAAAUUCGUAGAUAUUGGGAAGAACACCGGUGGCGAAGGCGGCGACCUGGUCCUUGACUGACGCUGAGGCGCGAAAGCGUGGGGAGCAAACAGGAUUAGAUACCCGUGUAGUCCCUGUCUCUUAUAC